rnacentral:rRNA from 1 species
CCUACGGGUGGCAGCAGUGAGGAAUAUUGGUCAAUGGGCGCGAGCCUGAACCAGCCAAGUCGCGUGAGGGAAGACUGCCCUAUGGGUUGUAAACCUCUUUUAUUAGGGAAUAAUGAGCGUUACGUGUAGCGUGAUGCCUGUACCGUAUGAAUAAGCAUCGGCUAACUCCGUGCCAGCAGCCGCGGUAAUACGGAGGAUUCGAGGGUUAUCCGGAUUUAUUGGGUUUAAAGGGUGCGUAGGCGGGUUGUUAAGUUGGUGGUAAAAUGUCGGGGCUAAACCCAGGAUUGCCAUUUGAACUGGCGGCCUUGAGUACAGACGAGGUAGGCGGAAUACGUGGUGUAGCGGUGAAAUGCUUAGAUAUCACGCAGAACUCCGAUAGCGAAGGCAGCUUACCAGGCUGCGACUGACGCUGAAGCACGAGAGCGUGGGUAGCGAACAGGAUUAGAUACCCUUGUAGUC